rnacentral:rRNA from 1 species
UGGGGAAUUUUGGACAAUGGGCGCAAGUGAUCCACAUGCCGCGUGUCUGAAGAAGGCCUUCGGGUUGUAAAGGACUUUUGUCAGGGAAGAAAAGGACAGGGUUAAUACCUCUGUUUGAUGACGGUACCUGAAGAAUAAGCACCGGCUAACUACGUGCCAGCAGCCGCGGUAAUACGUAGGGUGCGAGCGUUAAUCGGAAUUACUGGGCGUAAAGCGAGCGCAGACGGUUACUUAAGCAGGAUGUGAAAUCCCCGGGCUCAACCUGGGAACUGCGUUCUGAACUGGGUGACUAGAGUGUGUCAGAGGGAGGUAGAAUUCCACGUGUAGCAGUGAAAUGCGUAGAGAUGUGGAGGAAUACCGAUGGCGAAGGCAGCCUCCUGGGAUAACACUGAUGUUCAUGCUCGAAAGCGUGGGUAGCAAACAGGAUUAGAUACCCUGGUAGUCCACGCCCUAAACGAUGUCAAUUAGCUGUUGGGCAACUUGAUUGCUUAGUAGCGUAGCUAACGCGUGAAAUUGACCGCCUGGGGAGUACGGUCGCAAGAUUA